AAACCUUUAAAGCUGCAACCUAGAAAAAUGAAAUACAAUCUGUUCUUUCAAGCUUAAUAUCUGAUAUGGGUCUCAUUGGCCCUAGAUAUUAAACAUAUUUUUUGGAAAUGGUGUUUCUACGGAGCUUGCCUUGGGGUCACAAGGGUUAGCCUGGGAUUUUACUGCCACCGGGAUAGGCCCAUUCUCU